GUGUCAGCAGCCGCGGUAAUACGGGGGGUGCAAGCGUUAAUCGGAAUUACUGGGCGUAAAGGGCGCGUAGGUGGUUACUUAAGUCAGAUGUGAAAGCCCCGGGCUCAACCUGGGAAUUGCAUUUGAUACUGGGUAACUAGAGUGUGGUAGAGAGUAGCGGAAUUUCUGGUGUAGCGGUGAAAUGCGUAGAUAUCAGAAGGAACACCAAUGGCGAAGGCAGCUACUUGGGCCAACACUGACGCUGAGGCGCGAAAGCAUGGGGAGCAAACAGGAUUAGAUACCCUGGUAGUCCAUGCUGUAAACGAUGACAACUUGUUGAUGGGAGGGUUACCUUUCGUUGACGUAGCUAACGUGUUAAGUUGUCCGCCUGGGGAGUACGGUCGCAAGGCUGAA
rnacentral:rRNA from 1 species